rnacentral:rRNA from 1 species
GAUGAACGCUGGCGGCGUGCCUAAUACAUGCAAGUCGAGCGAAUGGAUUAAGAGCUUGCUCUUAUGAAGUUAGCGGCGGACGGGUGAGUAACACGUGGGUAACCUGCCCAUAAGACUGGGAUAACUCCGGGAAACCGGGGCUAAUACCGGAUAACAUUUUGAACCGCAUGGUUCGAAAUUGAAAGGCGGCUUCGGCUGUCACUUAUGGAUGGACCCGCGUCGCAUUAGCUAGUUGGUGAGGUAACGGCUCACCAAGGCAACGAGGCGUAGCCGACGUGAGAGGGUGAUCGGCCACACUGGGACUGAGACACGGCCCGGACUCCUACGGGAGGCAGCAGUAGGGAAUCUUCCGAAAUGGACGAAAGUCUGACGGAGCAACGCCGCGUGAGUGAUGAAGGCUUUCGGGUCGUAAAACUCUGUUGUUAGGGAAGAACAAGUGCUAGUUGAAUAAGCUGGCACCUUGACGGUACCUAACCAGAAAGCCACGGCUAACUACGUGCCAGCCGCCGCCGUAA